GGACCCAUAGCUCAGUGGUUAGAGCAGCUGACUCAUAAUCAGUUGGUCGUAGGUUCAAUCCCUACUGGGUCCA
rnacentral:tRNA from 1 species